UGUCCAAACGCAAUUCUUG
rnacentral:miRNA from 1 species